GACGAACCGUGCGAACGUUGUUCGGAAUCACUGGGCUUAAAGGGCGCGUAGGCGGGCUGUCAAGUCCGGGGUGAAAUCCUCCAGCUCAACUGGAGAAUGGCCUCGGAUACUGAUGGUCUCGAGGAGGAUAGGGGCACACGGAACUGUGGGUGGAGCGGUGAAAUGCGUUGAUAUCCACAGGAACUCCGGUGGCGAAACGCGGUGUGCUGGGAUCCUUUCUCGACGCUGAUGCGCGAAAGCCAGGGGAGCAAAGCGG
rnacentral:rRNA from 1 species